AACGAACCCUGGCGGCAGGCUUAACACAUGCAAGUCGAGCGCGCAGCAAUGCGAGCGGCAGACGGGUGAGUGACGCGUGGGAACCUACCCUUUUCUACGGAAUAACGCAUGGAAACGUGUGCUAAUACCGUAUACGCCCUUCGGGGGAAAGAUUUAUCGGAGAAGGAUGGGCCCGCGUUGGAUUAGCUAGUUGGUGGGGUAAAGGCCUACCAAGGCGACGAUCCAUAGCUGGUCUGAGAGGAUGAUCAGCCACAUUGGGACUGAGACACGGCCCAAACUCCUACGGGAGGCAGCAGUGGGGAAUAUUGGACAAUGGGCGCAAGCCUGAUCCAGCCAUGCCGCGUGAGUGAUGAAGGCCCUAGGGUUGUAAAGCUCUUUCACCGGUGAAGAUAAUGACGGUAACCGGAGAAGAAGCCCCGGCUAACUUCGUGCCAGCCGCCGCAGUAAAAC
rnacentral:rRNA from 1 species